CCAGGAGUUCAGAGGGCAGCUGUCUUUCGCUACAAAGGGGCACCUGGUGGAGGAUGUUUUUAGAGUAAGAGUUGCAGAGAGCAGAGGAAAGAUAACGGGUUCCCAAUCGCCCACGCCCUAACCUCUCUCCAUAGCUUACCCUUCCUCUCCUUGAAAUUGUGUUGAGAGGAUGAGGCUUGGAGGAAUGUGUCAUCUGGUCCUCUGUUGUCAUCUGCUGGGAUGUACAUACUUUGGUCUUUCUGGUCCUCAGUCAUUUAUCCUUCGUUCAGAAUGCAAGGAUAAACAUGGACAAAAAAUACGGAAGCCGUAUGCUAAUGAUGAUGGAACAAGAAGGCAAGAGGAAUCUGGGGCACUUGGACUUCAAGUAGCUGUCAAACCACUUCUCAACUGCAUUUCUCUUUCUGACUUCUUGAUAUUUGAAAGAAAUAAGUUGACCAAAUUUCAGUGGUUUAUUUUCCAGUAAGUUCAACCUAACUCAAUGCCUAGGUUCAAUUCUAGAGAAGAGAAUCUUCUAUAAAAUCAAGCUUGAAAUGUAUAUUUUUCUUUUUUUAAUUAAUUAUGAUAAGAAAACGCAAGCACGUAACAUAAAAUUUACCAACUGAGAUCCAUUUUGAAGUAUACAGUCCCAUAGUGCUAAGUAUUUUCACAUUGUUGUGCAACAAAACUUUUUCAUGUGUUGUUAUUUGAGGAUUGGAUCUUAGGAGAUAAUUAAGUUGAGAUUAGGUUAUGAGGAUGAGGCUUCCAUGAUGGGAUUAGUGCUUUCAUACAAAAAAAUAAUAGUUUGUGUGUGUGUGCCCUCUUGUUCUC